rnacentral:lncRNA from 1 species
GGCCCAGGAUCCCUUGCGCUGGCUCUACCCGCGGGGCCGCUGAGGGCGGCGUGGGGAGGCCUGGGGCGUGCUGACGUUCCCCCCGCUGGGCCCGACCACAUGAAAGGCCCUUGCACUUGCCACCCGCCAGCUGCCUGGAGCUGGUUUCUGACUGCAGUGCCUUGGCAUCCAUGCCCCUCAAGACCCAGCCUUCGCUUUCCGUACAGGAGCUCACCAUUUCCCCUGCCAGAAAAAGAAACUAUUUGCAGUUAUCAAAAAGUACCAGAUCAAAGAAGGCUUAUCCUUAUGCAGGGAAGGAAGAAAGAGCCAGAGUGCUGUCUCGAGAUCUUCCUCUUUCACCAAGAACCAGCCAAAGCAGGAGGCAGCGGGGGUGCCCAGAAGAAGCAGCUUCAGUCCUGGAAGGAGAAGACCUGCUGGAAAAAGCAAAACCCAGCUGGCUCGGUCCUGGUUGAGCCCCUCCGGCCCACUCUUCCCAGGGGCCUGUGCCUCUGCCCACUAUCUUUGGGUCCAUCACCAACCUGCAUCUUAAAAGGGUCAUUAAACAAGACACAACUCACUUCCAAAUAAAAGAGCCUCAUUGAGAUAAACCUGUUAAUCCCCACCCCCAUCAAGGUAAACAACAUUAAAAAUGUCUUUCCUCCUCUCUUCUGUCUGCAGGGGUCAUGUUGGGGGCUUGUAGGGUUGAGAUUGAGAGCUUCCUUGAGGAACUACAGAGAAAAAAAGGCCAGGGC